GCAGAAACUGGGUAAUGAAAAUCAUCUAAUCAAAAUGAUCUCUAGGAUAAUCGAUGUAUCUGAAUUAAACCCUCAAGACGGUAGGUGAAGGCUUGAUUCCAGGUCCUGUAAGAGCACACUGGCCGAGCAACUCUAAUUACAUUAAAAAUUGCAUUUAUACAAAGGAUGCUUCGAACUCCUGCUUUGGCUCUAAACCAGUAAAAUAUCAGCAACUAACUUUUAACUUCCAAGCCAUUCAACUUGUACAACUCAACUUACUUCAAGGAAAUGGUUGAUAUGUACAUCUAGGGCUUAUGGGAUGUGUCCGGACUUUGAGCAACUUCUUCAUUGUAGGCAUCAAGCACCUUGAUGCAUUGCUAUCUCCAUUUACCAAGUGUAUGAUCCAUCUCACACAAAUUGCCGAGGAAGGACAUAAACAAUGCUAGUUUGUGCACAAAAAUGAUAAUCAUUUAGCAUCAUCUGGAGUUGGUUCUUGGAGUCGCCUGAGGUUGGCCUCCCAAUCCUUUAACUUUGCCAGAAUUAUGAGAUCCAUGGCCUUCAGAUUUUCCU
rnacentral:misc_RNA from 1 species